UCUGGUGAUGAUGGCAUAGAGGAAACACUCCUUCCCAUUCCGAACAGGAAAGUUAAGCUCUAUAGCGCCAAUGGUACUGCAUGGGANUUUUUUUAUAUGUAAUGCUAAGC
rnacentral:rRNA from 1 species